AUGUUUUCUUCUAUUGUCUGUGUUUCAUUAUGUGUACGCUCAGAUCAGGUAUCAAAGCUUUGUCUCAUUAGUUACUUUUAUUUUUUUUUGGCUGUCAUGGUCUGCUGCCAGCAGUUGUUAGAGUUGAUAGGAACUGCAAGGGAGCAGAAGAGUUGCCAGACCAGGUCAUCUGCCUCCCAGCCUGCAAAGCCCAGCACUUGUGUCCUGUCUGGCAAGUCAGCUCGGGGGUCCUGCUGCCUUGCCUGGAUGUGUCUAUGCCAUGCAAUGGGGUCCUGUCCCCAGGACCCACUGUUUGCUCCUGUCCCUGUUCUGCCCCCUUGCUUGGGCUGCUGCAGUGCCCCAGGCUCACCCUGUGAAUCGGACCAGGUGACUGACACAGGAUUCCUGGAUGAAAUACGCAUGGAAAAUUCCAAGGCAUCGUAUCUGAUCAAAUCGAUCUGUUUUCAACUUGGAUACCCGCCCAGCUAGACGCCUGAGAGCUUUUCACCCAGAUGAGCUCAUCUCUACCAUACUGACGUAGAAGAAUUUGAUAUCACCAUUUUAAGGUUUUUCUAAAACAGUAAGAAGUCAAAGACAGCCUGAGGAGCAAGCCUUGGCACACAAUAGCAUAGAUCUGUCAGACUGUCCACUAGAUGGAAGUGUUAUCCGGUCCCUGUGUGGGCGAUGUACAAAUCAUCUAUUGCAACACGGGCAGAAACGUCCCACAGACGGGAGAGCCUGCAGAAGUCCCACUCAGAAUGCCUUCCUGUCUGCUUCCAGCACUCUCAGGUCCCCUUUGAGCAGAGCGGCACGGUAAGGGGACCAACACAGCAU
ensembl:lncRNA